AACGAACGCUCGCGGCUGAUUAGCUUGUUGGUAAGGUAAGAGCUUACCAAGGCGACGAUCAGUAUCUGGUUUGAGAGGACGAUCAGACACACUGGAACUGAGACACGGUCCAGACUCCUACGGGAGGCAGCAGUGGGGAAUUUUCCGCAAUGGGCGAAAGCCUGACGGAGCAAUACCGCGUGAGGGAAGACUGCCUAUGGGUUGUAAACCUCUUUUUUCAGGGAGGAAUAAAAUGACGUGUACCUGAAGAAUAAGCAUCGGCUAACUCCGUGCCAGCAGCCGCGGUAAU
rnacentral:rRNA from 1 species